AUUGAACGCUGGCGGCAUGCCUUACACAUGCAAGUCGAACGGGAACAGGUCUUCGGAUGCUGACGAGUGGCGCACGGGUGAGUAAUACAUCGGAACGUGCCCGAUCGUGGGGGAUAACGAAGCGAAAGCUUUGCUAAUACCGCAUACGAUCUACGGAUGAAAGCAGGGGACCGCAAGGCCUUGCGCGAACGGAGCGGCCGAUGGCAGAUUAGGUAGUUGGUGGGAUAAAAGCUUACCAAGCCGACGAUCUGUAGCUGGUCUGAGAGGACGACCAGCCACACUGGGACUGAGACACGGCCCAGACUCCUACGGGAGGCAGCAGUGGGGAAUUUUGGACAAUGGGCGAAAGCCUGAUCCAGCCAUGCCGCGUGCAGGAUGAAGGCCUUCGGGUUGUAAACUGCUUUUGUACGGAACGAAAAGACUCUGUUUAAUACCUGGGGUCCAUGACGGUACCGUAAGAAUAAGCACCGGCUAACUACGUG
rnacentral:rRNA from 1 species